AGAGUUUGAUCCUGGCUCAGAUUGAACGCUGGCGGCAUGCCUAACACAUGCAAAGUCGAACGGUAGCAGGGCCUUCGGGUGCUGACGAGUGGCGGACGGGUGAGUAAUGCGUAGGAAUCUGUCUUUUAGUGGGGGACGAACCCAGGGAACUUGGCGUAAUACCGCAUGAGCCCUCGAGGGGGAAAGCGGGGAGUCUUCGGACCUCGCGCUAAGAGAAGAGCCUACGUCUGAUUAGCUAGUUGGUAGGGUAAAGGCCUACCAAGCGACGAUCAGUAGCUGGUCUGAGAGGACGACCAGCCACACUGGGAC
rnacentral:rRNA from 1 species